rnacentral:misc_RNA from 1 species
AAGUCGUAACAAGGUUUCCGUAGGUGAACCUGCGGAAGGAUCAUUAACUCAAUAUAUGUAUGGUCACUUCGGUGACUGUGCAUCAUAUUACCAAAACCAAAAUUAACAAUCCGUGAAACUAUAACAAAACCAAAAUGAAUGGUUUCGCGUGACAUUACUUUGUUUGAAUGCACGUACUCAGCCAAUACCAAUUCCACGUCAUUUUAACCAUAUUAACCCAUUACUGUAACGAUCUUUUCACUUUGUGUCAAGAGCGUACUAAAACAAAAGCGUGUCAUUACUUAAUUGAAUGCAUGCACCAAUUUAUUCUAAAACAGAGAAAUACAACUCUUAACAAUGGAUAUCUUGGCUCUCGUAACGAUGAAAAACGCAGC